GACGAACGCUGGCGGCGUGCUUAACACAUGCAAGUCGAGCGGUAAGGCCCUUUCGGGGGUACACGAGCGGCGAACGGGUGAGUAACACGUGGGUGACCUGCCCUUAGCUCUGGGAUAAGCCUGGGAAACUGGGUCUAAUACCGGAUAUGACUCCAUAACGCAUGUUGUGGGGUGGAAAGCCUUGUGCGGCUAGGGAUGGGCCCGCGGCCUAUCAGCUUGUUGGUGGGGUGAUGGCCUACCAAGGCGACGACGGGUAGCCGGCCUGAGAGGGCGACCGGCCACACUGGGACUGAGACACGGCCCAGACUCCUACGGGAGGCAGCAGUGGGGAAUCUUGCGCAAUGGGCGAAAGCCUGA
rnacentral:rRNA from 1 species